ACAAAUUGUCACACCCAGUUUUAGAAGGCAAACCGAAUGCGAAUCAUGUACAUGCCAGGACCAGCAAUUCACGUACACAACAAUUACAUAGUUGGACAUCAUCACACAGUGCUCAAAUAAUAACAUAAAAGCGUAUUAAUUUGAUUACAUCAUGAUGCCCAAGACAUCCACAUAGUAUUAAACAUAAAUAAAAGUGCAAAAACAAAACGUAGCAACACAUGACCUUCAUAGGUAGCCGAUUGGGGGUUUGCCGCUAACCCAUUCCUAGAACUCAUCAUAGUCUUGGAACUCCUAGAAAUCCUCCACCACGACUUCAUCUUCUUCUGAGCAGUGGUUGGAAUGUGGACAACCUGGUGGUUUUGGUGUUGUAAAGCAAGGGUGAGUACACAUCAAUGUACUCAACAAUUGUCCCGUUUGGGUGAGGUGGACUAGCUGUAUGUGGGGUGAAGCUCAGAGCGAUUGCUUUUAGUUGGUCAGGUAAUUAUUACUAGUAGAGAGCUAGGUUUUAGCAUUAAACCCAAGUUAUUAACCCAAAAGUACUCCUUCCAAACAAAAAGAAUACCAGAAACCAUAAUCAUAAUCAUCACCAUCAAAACCAUAAUUAUCCAUAUCAUCAUCUGUAAUCAUAGUAUCUCUAAUCAAAGGAGCUCCUAAGGCUGCUCAUAACUGUGAGCACGGCUGAUAUAUCGGUUUCAUAACACUCUACAGAGGUUGCACACUUUACCCAUGAGUCGUGAUUGCCUCUCUAGCCUGGGCUUACAAGACCCUUGUUCACUCCCGAGGUGAAUGGCCAGGGAUUCACUACGAAGCCUUUACAAAGAUUCCCUGAGAUGUAGCCACUCGUUAGGUUUCUUAAAUGUACCGCACUCCUCCCCAAGGGGCAAACCACCCUUGGCAGAGCGAGCCGCAUACACCAAGCCACAUUGGCGGCACGACGGCGAAGCAAACUACACCUUAGUUCCUUUAAUUAAUUAGCUAAGGGCGUCCAUACCACCCUCAUGGCUGUACUAUUUUCCCGGUGGCAAUCCAACGAACCAGUCCUUACGAAGAGGCACUCGAGAAACUGCUCGAGUCCCCUUAAAUGUCACAAUGCCAUCAUCAUAAUCAAAAGUAAACCUCGUGUCAUAAAUAAUCUCAUCAUAUUCAUUGAUUAAAGUAAAGCGCUAGCAUAGAGCUAAUCAAAAAAUGAUCCAACCCAAAUAGGUGAACAAGGACAAGAUAAACAAAGACUAGUCAAUCCUUAGGUAUAAAUUAUGUAAAUGCGGGGAGGUGAAUUCUGAAAUGUAUAGGACAUAAAUAGGUCAGAGGACACUUGCCUUCACCAACCAGCUGCUGCCCAAGGUCUUCGCCUGCAACUCCUUCAGACUCCGCCAACGAACCGUUACCUAUACGAGUUCAAACAUACAUUCCACAAUCUUAACAUAGAAAGAAAGAAUACACCACACAAUAAAAUAUUACAACUAAACAGAUGCGUGGCGCAGGGAUCGUAUCUACGACUAUGCUAGAAAAGAAACUACAACAGUCGAAGAUACAGCCUAGAGACAUAGCGAUUACAUCUAGCAGUUAUGGAUUAAAAUACUUAUCUCGACAUAAUCACAUUAAUUGAUAAUAGUGCAAUGCAUAAAUAAAAUUGGCACUAGGUCCUGAUUAGUUUGGUAUUUGAUUAAUCGUCAUUACACUACACACUUAAAUUAAUAUACACAAUUCUAGGUGAAAUGAAAGGGUUGUCGCGCGGCAAAGCGCGCGACACAACACACUAUUCGAAUGAAAUUAAAAAGGAUUGUUGCGCGGCGAAGCGCGUGACACAACGCGUGAUUUAAACGAAAUUGAAAAGGAUUGUCGUGCGGCAAAGCGCACGACACCACACGCUACUCGAACGGAAUUAAAAAGAAUUAUCGUGCGGCGAAGUGUGCAACACAACAUGUGACUCCAACGGGGUUUAAAACGUUACGACGCGUGCUGGGCUGCGCGCACGGGGCCAGACCGUGCUGAGGUGGGGGUGGGGGCUGUGCAGGGGACUGGGAGCUGCACCGGGGCUGGGGGAAGCCGCGCCAUGCCCGGGGCCUAGGGCCGCGCUAGGGGCAAGCCGUCGCGUUGGGGGCCACGCCGGGGGCGCUUCGCGCCUGGGGCGAGCCGCGCCGGGGGGUGCCACGCCAGGGGCAGGAGAGGGCGCCAGGGAGGGCAGCCUCGGCAGGGCCGCGCGUGCUAGGGAAGGGACUCGGCCAGGGGGCGCCGUGCAGGGGGAGGGAGGAGAGAGAGGGGAGGGGAACUCACCACGGUCUCGAUGGACGGCAGC
rnacentral:lncRNA from 1 species